AUGCUAUCAAGGAAGGGGACUUUGUCAACACCUUUCGGACCAGUAAAUCAGGCACAUAAGCAGCUGUUCGACGAGGGAACCAAUCCUAUCAAGGAAGGGGACUUUGUCAACACCUUUGAAUGCGUCAGCCACGACCUCGAGAUCAGCUCAAAGAAGCGCUGUAGCACAAGAGAGGCAAUUGGUAGCAAAUCAGUCUGGUCAGAAUUCACCGGAGAGUCCUUCCUUAGAGCAGAAUGGCGCAGAGCAACUGGGAAGCGGACUACGUCUACGGACAUGAUGCGUGAUGUACACAUCCAUCACUACUAUUUGCUCAAGUGGAUCAUCCAAACGGCCAACCUGUUCAUGGUGGAGGGGGCGAUGCCUGCUAAGUCCUCCAAUUCAUGCUCAGGUGCAACCUGGAAUGAUUGGGUUUAUGACAUUGGGUGGCAGUAUAAUUCUCAUGCUGACGACAAUUAUUUUUUUGACGAGGAUUCAGUGGUUGUCUGUGGCAUGUGUUCAACUAGGAACUCAUCAUUAUUGGAGUAUUUCAUCUGUAUAUACCAAAGCAAGGCGGGAGAAGAAGCAGUUAUAUUGUGCCUUGCAUCAUUUGAUAGACAUAUAGCUGAACCUCUUAUUCCAUCCCUCCGUCCUUGA
rnacentral:rRNA from 1 species